rnacentral:tRNA from 1 species
GCGGGCGUGGUGGAAUUGGUAGACACGUCGGAUUUAGGUUCCGGUGGAGAAAUCCAUGGGGGUUCAAGUCCCUCCGCUCGCACCA